rnacentral:rRNA from 1 species
AAUCAACGCUGGCGGCGUGCCUAACACAUGCGAGUCGCACGAGAAAGGGUAGCAAUACCUGAGUACAGUGGCGCACGGGUGAGUAACACGUGAAUCAUCUACCUUCGAGUGGGGAAUAACUGAGAGAAAUCUUAGCUAAUACCGCAUAAUACCUACGGGUCAAAGCAGCAAUGCGCUUGAAGAGGAGUUCGGCAGAUUAGUUAGCUGGCGGGGUAAUGGCCCACCAAGACGAUGAUCUGUAUCCGGCCUGAGAGGGCGCACGGACACACUGGAACUGAAACACGGUCCAGACUCCUACGGGAGGCAACAGUGGGGAAUUUUGCGCAAUGGGGGAAACCCUGACGCAGCAACGCCGCGUGCAGGAUGAAAUCCCUUGGGAUGUAAACUCCUUUCGAUAGGGAAGAUAAUGACGGUACCUAUAGAAGAAGCCCCGGCUAACUUCGUGCCAGCAGCCGCGGUAAUACGAGGGGGGCAAGCGUUGUUCGGAAUUAUUGGGCGUAAAGGGUGCGUAGGCGGUUUGACAAGUCUUAUGUGAAAUCUUCGG